rnacentral:rRNA from 1 species
UACGUAGGGCGCAAGCGUUGUCCGGAAUUAUUGGGCGUAAAGAGCUCGUAGGCGGCUUGUCACGUCGGGUGUGAAAGCCCGGGGCUUAACCCCGGGUCUGCAUCCGAUACGGGCAGACUAGAGUUCGGUAGGGGAGUCUGGAAUUCCUGGUGUAGCGGUGAAAUGCGCAGAUAUCAGGAGGAACACCGGUGGCGAAGGCGGGACUCUGGGCCGAUACUGACGCUGAGGAGCGAAAGCGUGGGGAGCGAACAGG